UAUAGGUUUGGUCCCAGCCUUCCUGUUAACUUUCAAUAGACUUAUACAUGCAAGCAUCCACGCCCCGGUGAGUAACGCCCUUCGAAUCACACAGGACUAAAAGGAGCAGGUAUCAAGCACACACUCUUGUAGCUCACAACGCCUUGCUUAACCACACCCCCACGGGAGACAGCAGUAACAAAAAUUAAGCCAUAAACGAAAGUUUGACUAAGCCAUAUUGACUAGGGUUGGUAAAUCUCGUGCCAGCCACCGCGGUCAUACGAUUGACCCAAGCUAACAGGAGUACGGCGUAAAGCGUGUUAAAGCAUCAUACUAAAUAGAGUUAAAUUUUAAUUAAACUGUAAAAAGCCAUAAUUAUAACCAAAAUAAAUGACGAAAGUAACCCUACAAUAGCUGAUACACCAUAGCUAAGACCCAAACUGGGAUUAGAUACCCCACUAUGCUUAGCCCUACACACAAAUAAUUAU
rnacentral:rRNA from 1 species